UGUGUGUGUUUGUUUGUGUGUGUGUGUGUGUGUGUUUUACAUUCUCUUUAUCUAUUCAUUCAUGGCUAGGCAUCCAGUUUGAUUGUACAACCUGGCUGUAAUGGAUAGUGUCAAAAUAAACAUAAAUGUAAGGCAUCGCAGUAGUGAGCUGACUCUGGUUCUUUUGAGUGCAUAAUCAGAGUUGGUAUAACUCUGAAUCACAUGGUAGUUCUAUUUGCAAUCUUCUGACUAACUUCUUUACUAAUCAUAGUAUCCCCAAAUUUACAUUCCCACCAAUCCUAUCUAAGGGUUUCUUUCCCCCAUCCCAUCCUCAUCAAUAACUGUUACUUUUCUUUUCUUGAUGGCAGCCAUUCUUUUGGGGUGAGAUGCAAUCUCAAUGUAAUUUUAAUUUGUAUUUGCCUGAUGGCUAAAUAUGCUGAAAGUAGGAUAUAUUUUCUACUGAAAUUAUACACAGACACAUAGAAAUGAGAUUUUCUUAGUUCAUUCAAAAGGCAGAUUAAAGUUUCACCCUUAGAGUAAAACUCAAUAAAUCCUCCUUGUUCAGGUGUUGGUAAGUGUAUAACACAUAUAACAGGUAUCAUGGACUGGGGACAAACCAGAUCUGAGAUAAUGCCAAGUCUCAGGCCUAUGUUUAGUGCUAUUAACAUGGCUUCCAAAGCUAAAACCAUGCUUUUCAGACAACUGUCUCAAUCAUACAAAUUUAAGUAAAACAUAAAAAUCAAACAAAUCAAUGCAACCUAGUUGUAAUUUUUACCAAUGUCCAAAUCUCUAUCCAAAUACAAAUUUCAAAAGACAUAUGAAGAAUCACACAAACUAGUCUUCCUUUAAUUAUGUCCUUAAAGAGUGGUGGGUCCAAGAACUUAUUAUUGGUUGUGUUUUCUUGUACAAACUACACUUUGUAAAUUGUCUUCCUGUUCAGGAAAAGUCCUAUUAACUGACCUUCAACUGUCACUGGAUUGCAACUUUAUAUCUAUGUCAUUUCUUUAGGUUUACUGAAGCUUAACUACCAAAGCCAGUAUCAUAUUUUAGGUACUAUCUUAAAACAUUUAGUAAGCACAAUUGUAUCAGUGCGUGUUAAUUGUACAAACGAGCUCCAUUUGUGAUAUUUCCAUACACACAUACAAUGAUCCUUUAUCAAAUUAACCUCUCUCUUAAAUCCUUGUCUUAAUG